UGUAGCAGUUUAUUUUCUUUGAUUGUUCAAUUCCAGAAUUUCAGGACUGUCACAGCUACAUGAUAGUAUAACUUUCCAUAUGUACAUCCAGACCUUUUGACCAUAUUAAAGGGUCUACUAUAUUAUACUACUCUACUCUACUGUUACCAUGGUUACUAUUAUUUAAUAAAAUACAACAAUGAAGCAAGGA